UUAUGCUGUUAUCCCUAAAGUAAUUAAUUUUAUUAAUUUAAAUAAAAAAUUAAGAUAAUUAAUUCAUUUAUAAGUGUUAUUUUAAAAAAAGUUUUUUUAAUUUUUUAAUUACCCCAAUUAAAUUUUUUAAUUAUUUUAUAAUUAUUAAUAAUAAAAUUAUAAAAAAUUAAAUUUUAUAGGGUCUUAUCGUCUUUUUAUUUUAUUUAAGUUUUUUUACUUAAAUAAUAAUUUAAAAUAAUAAAAUUAAUAAAGAAUAUAUUUCAUUAAAUCUUUUAUUCUAGUUUUUAAUUAAAAAACAAAUUAUUAUGCUACCUUUGUACAGUUAUUGGUACUGCAGCCAUUUAAAUAAAUUCAUUGGGCA
rnacentral:rRNA from 1 species